rnacentral:rRNA from 1 species
GAUGAACGCUGGCGGCGUGCCUAAUACAUGCAAGUCGAGCGAACGGACGAGAAGCUUGCUUCUCUGAUGUUAGCGGCGGACGGGUGAGUAACACGUGGAUAACCUACCUAUAAGACUGGGAUAACUUCGGGAAACCGUAGCUAAUACCGGAUAAUAUUUUGAACCGCAUGGUUCAAAAGUGAAAGACGGUCUUGCUGUCACUUAUAGAUGGAUCCGCGCUGCAUUAGCUAGUUGGUAAGGUAACGGCUUACCAAGGCAACGAUGCAUAGCCGACCUGAGAGGGUGAUCGGCCACACUGGAACUGAGACACGGUCCAGACUCCUACGGGAGGCAGCAGUAGGGAAUCUUCCGCAAUGGGCGAAAGCCUGACGGAGCAACGCCGCGUGAGUGAUGAAGGUCUUCGGAUCGUAAAACUCUGUUAUUAGGGAAGAACGUAUGUGUAAGUAACUGUGCACAUCUUGACGGUACCCAAUCAGAAAGCCACGGCUAACUACGU